GACGAACGCUGGCGGCGUGCCUAACACAUGCAAGUCGAACGGAGAUACUUUUGAAGCUUGCGAUAAAGUAUCUUAGUGGCGGACGGGUGAGUAACGCGUGGGUAAUCUGCCCAUAAGUGGGGAACAACAGUUGGAAACGACUGCUAAUACCGCAUAAUCUGCCUUAGGGUAGGAAAGGUGGCCUCUUAACAAUGCUGCCGCUUAUGGAUGAGCCCGCGUCUGAUUAGCUAGUUGGUGGGGUAAAGGCCUACCAAGGCGACGAUCAGUAGCCGGCCUGAGAGGGUGAACGGCCACACUGGGACUGAGACACGGCCCAGACUCCUACGGGAGGCAGCAGUGGGGAAUAUUGCGCAAUGGGGGAAACCCUGACGCAGCGACGCCGCGUGAGCGAAGAAGGCCUUAGGGUUGUAAAGCUCUGUUUUAGGGGACGAAUGUCGUGGGGAGUAAUAUGACCUACGAAUGACGGUACCCUAAGAGGAAGCCCCGGCUAACUACGUGCCAGCAGCCGCGGUAAACU
rnacentral:rRNA from 1 species